rnacentral:lncRNA from 1 species
UUACUUCUGUUUGCCUGAAUUUUUAAACUGUAAAAUGGGGAUAAUAAAAGUACCUACCUCUCACAGGUUGUUGUGAAAACAGUGCUAUAUAUAAAUACUUAUUCUCCUUCCUUCUCUCCCCUUUCUCCAGGUUCUACCUCAUCAUUUUAUAGGUGAGGAAACAGAGGCCAAGAAUAAUCCAAUGAUCCUUUAAAGCUAGAACAUUUAAUUUUUAUGCUUGGCACAGAAGUCAUUUAAUAAAUGCUUGUUUUUCGAUUGAUUAAUUUGACCCAAUUCACAUACAAUUAACUGGAAAUACCAGCAAUUGUUGAGUUUAAAAUAUUACCACUAAUAAAAACCAAUAGAUAGGCACUUAGGUAGCCAAGUCUAGAAAUGGAAGGUCCUGGGUUCAACAUAUUUCCUAAAUGUGUGAUCCUGGACAAAUCAUUUAACCCCAACUUCCUAGUCCUUACUGUCCUUUUUCCUUGGAAUCAAUACUAGUAGCUAUUCUAAGAUAGACAAUAAGGGUUAAAAGAAAUAGAAAUACAUGGGGGGGGAAAAAAACUUGCUUUGGGCCUAAAACAAGGUUCCUAACCACAUCUAUGAUUUUGAAAUACAUUUCUAUUAUUUUGGCUUUUCUCCAUAGUGUUUCAAGCCUUGGAAGUCACUGAUACAAGAAGAAAAUAAUAGAGGGCUCAGGUGAGAAUUCAGUGAGAUUACAAAGCAUUCUGGGGAAGUGGAGCAUGGACUUCUGGGGAUUGAAGUCCUGGAUUCAAGUCUAUUUUUACAGUGGUAACAGCAUGAACUGCAAUCUCUCAGUACUAGAGCUAUGAUCCUAUGACUCUUUGAUUUAAUAAAUCAGGAGAAAGGAUCACAAAAGAGUCAUUAUACAGUACCAAGAAGCACAAGGUCAAGGAGACCAACCAAUCCCGAUGGGAUUGAUGAGAAUUUGCACUAACAUAGAGAACUUGUUUUGGGGUUCCAGGAAGUGGCUGUUUGACAACAUCAGAUGCAGGACUUCCCUGUGCCAGAUUCAGACUAAGAGCCAUCUGUAGAACUAUUUUUUUUUUAAAUCUGCGAAAAAGAAAACCAGUCCAGCAAAAUCAACU